GGAACCAUCAUAUUGCUUUUCACAGUGGCUGCAUCAUUUUAUAUUCCCACCAGCAAUGCACAAGGAUCUCCAUUUCUCCACAUCUUUCUCAACACUUGCUGUUUCUGUGAUCAUAGCCAUUUUAAUAGAGUUGUCAACACUGAAAACUUUGUAGCUUCUAAAGAAAGUUACUGAUCAGUGAAGCAAAGAACAAGUCAAGAAUCAAGUACGGUUUGCCCUUCAAAAACCAAUGACUGACAACAAUAAAGCUACAAGUGAUUUAUUAUCUUCUUGAGGUGCAUACAUUUAUUUUGCUCAAGUUUCUCUCUCCGUAAUAGGAACUAAAAGGUAUGGGGACAUCUAGAUGGAGUUGUUGAUUUGCAGUGGAUGUGUGUGCUGAAGGGUCUUGGCUGGAGCCAGUUCCAUGCAAGAUCAAGCCAUAAGCAAACCAAAAUUCUGAGGAGCAAAAGCUAUGAGGACACAGAAGGCCUUCACCGGAUGCCAGUGUCACACUCUUGAACUUUCACACCUCCAGAACCAUGAGAGAACAAGAAUGUCCUUUCCAGAUGCCAGACCCUUGAUCUUGGACUUCCCAACCUCCCAAACUGUUAUAAAUCCCUGUCCUUUAUAAAUUAGCCAGUGUUCGAUAUUUCCUUCUUGUAG
rnacentral:lncRNA from 1 species